rnacentral:rRNA from 1 species
CGUACACUCCUGCGGGAGGCAGCAGUGGGGAAUAUUAGACAAUGGGCGCAAGCCUGAUCCAGCCAUGCCGCGUGAGUGAUGAAGGCCCUAGGGUUGUAAAGCUCUUUUGUGCGGGAAGAUAAUGACGGUACCGCAAGAAUAAGCCCCGGCUAACUUCGUGCCAGCAGCCGCGGUAAUACGAAGGGGGCUAGCGUUGCUCGGAAUCACUGGGCGUAAAGGGUGCGUAGGCGGGUCUUUAAGUCAGGGGUGAAAUCCUGGAGCUCAACUCCAGAACUGCCUUUGAUACUGAAGAUCUUGAGUUCUGGAGAGGUGAGUGGAACUGCGAGUGUAGAGGUGAAAUUCGUAGAUAUUCGCAAGAACACCAGUGGCGAAGGCGGCUCACUGGCCCGAUACUGACGCUGAGGCACGAAAGCGUGGGGAGCAAACAGGAUUAGAUACCCGUGUAGUCUCAUGA